UCCCUACAUGAAUUCGAACAAUUUUCCGAAUUACGUUGUCAGUUUCAGAGCUCCCCGGGUUACUAGUUUUGAAAGAAUUUGGAGGUCUGUAGUCGGACCUAGUUUGCCAUACAUGACGUUUCCUACUUUGUUGUCCAUGCUUUCGAGAUUCUUACCUCGUUAGAAGAAGGUUUUGAUUACCAAUUUCUAUAGUGCCUACAGAAAAAAUAAGCUUUCCCGUAUCCAACUGAUACAAAAAAUGAGGCGACUAGCCGGAGACAAGCUUUUAAUCGCCGUAAUCAAAUUUGAUAGGAAAAAGCAACUCCAGGCAAGAAUUAGAUCUUCAGCUUCAGCAGAUUUAAAUAGUGCAAAGAGAUGUGCAGCAGGUGCUUGAGUGGCCGAAAGGGAAACUGGCUUCGUCCCGCGUUGCUUUCAACCCUGCAGAUCAUACCCUAGCAGCGUUCAUAUUCGUAGUCUUCCGCAGAUUUUUUGCAAUUGUUAUGGUUAAGGAAAAAUUGUGCGUUUUGAUCCAUUUGUUCUGCUCCAGUAGUUUUAGCUCAAGUUGGACAGUCUUUUCCGCUGAUAUGGCAUUGUAAUUCCUCAAGAACAUAUAUUUUCUCUGA